GUGUGGGUAGGUGCAGAACGCGAUGUUCAGACCGGCUCCCGUCACAGGGACGCCCCCGAGGCCGACAGCUAACUAGGAUAAUUGAAUGCUUAGACUGGAAAAUGCAUCAUGUCGUCACGCCCAGCGUGUUUUUUAAUUUUUAAGACAAGGAAGCAGGUGUGCAGAUCUGCUGUGGCUGAUAGAUGUUGAAUUGAAACAGCUGGAUGACAACUACAGCAGGAAUUUCACAAAGGCAACAUUUGCUCAUGUCCAGCAGGACAGAGAUUCAGGUGUUUAUCAAAGUGAUGUUGAUAUCACAGCUAGUGGAUAGUGGGUGUCUUUUAUGUUUCAUCACGCUUUAUUUAUAAACCAAAGAAUUCACCAGUGUAUUAGGUAAGUUCAUUUUUUGAAAAAGUUGUGUUUGACUCAGGCAUGUUAUGCAUCUGGUAUCAUCACUAAACAUGCCAGAACACACAACACAAAUGCUAGUGUUACACAACAUCUUCUGUUGCUAUUUAAACAAAGCACAUUUUAAUCUACUACAGAGAAUUUUGGGGCAUAGAUGGGUGUAGUUUUCACCUUGCUGGUGACUGCAAAUGUGCUGAGAUUGAGUACACAAAGUGUUUGACACACUUGUGAAAGUGUU
rnacentral:lncRNA from 1 species